AACGAACGCUGGCGGCAUGCCUAACACAUGCAAGUCGAACGAGACCUUCGGGUCUAGUGGCGCACGGGUGCGUAACGCGUGGGAACCUGCCCUUAGGUUCGGAAUAACUCCCCGAAAGGGGUCCUAAUACCGGAUAAUGUCUUCGGACCAAAGAUUUAUCGCCUUUGGAUGGGCCCGCGUUGGAUUAGCUAGUUGGUAGGGUAAAAGCCUACCAAGGCGACGAUGCAUAGCUGGUCUGAGAGGAUGAUCAGCCACACUGGGACUGAGACACGGCCCAGACUCGUACGGGAGGCAGCAGUGGGGAAUAUUGGACAAUGGGCGAAGGCCUGAUCCAGCAAUGCCGCGUGAGUGAUGAAGGCCUUAGGGUUGUAAAGCUCUUUUACCCGGGAUGAUAAUGACAGUACCGGGAGAAUAAGCUCCGGCUAACUCCGUG
rnacentral:rRNA from 1 species